UUGGUGGUUUGGCCUGGGGCAAUCACAAUUGUGUCUGUUUUGAAUGGUUUCACAUAGGUAGCAUCUACUUCCACAACUGUGAGCUUGUGCCCAGCAAUCUUGAAGAAGAGCUCCUCAUUGAGUGCAGCAUUGAUUAUGCGCAGUAAGUAGAACAUUUUGAGAUGGGUCCUGAAUGACCAUUGAUUGUGUGAGCAUCAGAUACAUUUGGAGCUAAUCCUGAUUUGAGAGCUUCAUUGAUCACGGCUUCGGUGUCGGAUUUCCACCACUCAGCUAUUAGCAGGAUCAUGUUUUAGAACCAAAUCAGUCAGGUUCAAGUAAAGAUAAAAAAGGACGCCAAAGAUCGAUGUUGUUUUACUUUCAAACUUACUUACCUAAUACAACGACGACUUCUUUGUUAGGAGCUGGGAAUGGAUAUGGCACGCCGAGCUUGGGCAAGAUGACCAAAGCACCAUGGACAGUCGCCCUCAGCCAAAGAAUAUGUGCGUGCCAAAGAAGGGUGCCUCUUUGGCCAGUAACGGUGAAGUUAUACAAAUAGCUCUGCCCUGAUGGGAUGGGACAUUGUGUAAUGUAUGCUGGUCCAUCGGCCCAACCGGUUCGAAGCUGCCGAACUCCAUGCCUGAACAGAAAAAGAAAAGUUCUGGUAAAGAGGAAAUGGAAGAGAAAGUGCAGAGAUGAGAUGAAGGUAUGUUGCAUUCUCAAGUAAGAUAGAGAAUUGAUAUUUUGCAAAAAAGUUAAUUGAAUUUAUCCAUUCAAAUAUAUUUAUAUUAUUUUAUUGUUGAGAAAUGGCUUUCAAGUCAGCUUCAAAUUAGUAACCCAACUAAUGGUUUCCAUCUUCAAUGCUUAAAACUAAACCAUUGGUGGGUCUGUGUACCUUCUCUCGCUUUAAUAAGUGAGAAAAAAGUUAGUAAUUUGAAUUUUGGGUUAUGGAA